GACGAACGCUGGCGGCGUGCUUAACACAUGCAAGUCGAGCGAUGAAGUUCCUUCGGGAAUGGAUUAGCGGCGGACGGGUGAGUAACACGUGGGUAACCUGCCUCAUAGAGGGGAAUAGCCUUUCGAAAGGAAGAUUAAUACCGCAUAAGAUUGUAGUGCCGCAUGGUACAGCAAUUAAAGGAGUAAUCCGCUGUGAGAUGGACCCGCGUCGCAUUAGCUAGUUGGUGAGGUAACGGCUCACCAAGGCGACGAUGCGUAGCCGCCCUGAGAGGGUUAUCGGCCAGAUUGGGCCAGAGGCACUGCCCAGACGCCUACGGGAGGCAGCAGUGGGGAAUAUUGCACAAUGGGGGAAACCCUGAUGCAGCAACGCCGCGUGAGUGAUGGCGGUCUUCGGAUUGUAAAGCUCUGUCUUCAGGGACGAUAAUGACGGUACCUGAGGAGGAAGCCACGGCUAACUACGUGCCAGCAGCCGCCGUAA
rnacentral:rRNA from 1 species